GGAUGAACGCUGGCGGCGUGCCUACUACAUGCAAGUCGAGCGAACAGACGAGGAGCUUGCUCCUCUGACGUUAGCGGCGGACGGGUGAGUAACACGUGGAUAACCUACCUAUAAGACUGGGAUAACUUCGGGAAACCGGAGCUACUACCGGAUAAUAUAUUGAACCGCAUGGUUCAAUAGUGAAAGACGGUUUUGCUGUCACUUAUAGAUGGAUCCGCGCCGCAUUAGCUAGUUGGUAAGGUAACGGCUUACCAAGGCAACGAUGCGUAGCCGACCUGAGAGGGUGAUCGGCCACACGGGAACUGAGACACGGUCCAGACUCCUACGGGAGGCAGCAGUAGGGAAUCUUCCGCAAUGGGCGAAAGCCUGACGGAGCAACGCCGCGUGAGUGAUGAAGGUCUUCGGAUCGUAAAACUCUGUUAUUAGGGAAGAACAAAUGUGUAAGUAACUAUGCACGUCUUGACGGUACCUAAUCAGAAAGCCACGGCUAACUACGUG
rnacentral:rRNA from 1 species